UCAAGGCUUCUGCUACACUAUCAAUAUUUGCAUCCUCAUGGGGACUCAUCUAGGAUAUCCUGCUGUUGCCCUGUGUUGUGGAGCAUAUCCAAAGCCUUUAUGUGUUCCAGCAGAUCAUAGAUGGGGUAGAGGGUGGGAUGAACCAACUCAAUACCAUGGAUCUAGACCUGGAAGGUAGUUGAGUUGGCCAACCUACCAGCUCUCCUGUGCUCCUACCACCACAGUGAGCUCUCCAGCACUGCUCAUUGAAUGCCACAGUUGGCGUGAGGCAGGGUCAGUUCCCUGCAUUCAUGUCCUCAGCAAGCUCACCUGUGCCUUGCCACCAGGGCCAGCUCUAUCCAGCUGUCCAGGUGAGAUGCAGGGCCCAUUCUCCAGAGAGCUACAGCCAGUAAAGGGCAGGGAUAGCGCUCCUGUUCUCAUGACCUUGGGGCCAGCUCUCUUGCCUGCCACAGGUGUCAAGGUGGGAGAGCAUCUCUCCUUUGCUCAAGCCACCCCUCAGCAGACUAGGGUUGGGGUCAGCUCCCAGCUCCUGCUUUCCCUAUCCCCUGCCAUCAGAAAUCAGGGUCAUCUCUACUGUGCUGCAAAGGUGAGGGCCAAGGCCAGCUCUCCCUAGUGUGGUGUCUGAUGAGGGGUAGGGCCAGUUCAGCAUAGUGCCUCAGAUGGCAGUCCAGACCAGGGACAUCUACAUGGUCUUUGGUGGUAACACAGGCCUAGGACAUCAACAGAGACUCCUGCUGUCAUAAGACCACAGACACAGACAUGGCCCCUGGCAGCAGCAUGGGCCCAGAUGUCCCCACAUCCUCAGGAGGCAGUGUAGACCACUCAGAUCAGCAUGUGUCCUGUGGCAGUGUGGCCCCCAGAUAUCUACAUGGUCUCAGGUAGCAAGCCAUACCACAGACAUCUGCCUGGCUUUUGGUGAUAAUUGGGCUACAGACAGACACAAACCCCAGUUACAACAGGACCACAGACUCAGACAUGGCCCUUGGCAGCAGCUUGGGCCAGGACCUCACCUUGGUCUCCUCAUAUCUGCCUGUUCCUCAUGGCUGUCAAGUCUCUAGUUCUCCCUUUCUCCACAGUGUGUGAACCCUUCAGCUUAGCUUUCCCUUCCAACUCUCCACCACACACUCCCAUCAUUCCCAUCUCUCCACCAGCCCUUUGUCCCUUGUAGUGGCACCUGCAGCAAAUGCUUAGGUGUCUUUCUCUGGCUGCUCUGGAUUAAGGGACUGUGGUGGGUAUUUGAGUGUCCUUUGGGUCACCCUGUGGGCGAGACCAAAGCGGGAACUUGGGAGUCUUUUUCACGUAACAGCGUUAAACACAGAGCCCAGGCACCAGCAGUGAGUUCCAAACAACAGAUUAAUGUCUCUAUUGGGCAGUGGAUUGUGGCAUUUUUGAGCACAGAAUUCCACAGACACAUUUGAUCUUCACUGACUCCUAGCACAAGAGACAAUGUUUUAAAUCGGGCUUGUUAAGCACGAAGUUUUAAUAGUUUGUGAUAGGAAUGAAUAUACCCACGCAGCCGUGACCCUUGUCAAUUUUAUCCCCCAGCCUGCAGAAAUUUGCAAGUUCAUUUUUCUGUGACUUUGGCUCAGUGUUGGAGAUGCCAGAACUCUCCUAAGAAGGACACUGUCCUUUCCACAGCAGACAUCACCAAUAUCCCUUGUUUAUUCAGGCUGUCCUCAAACCCAGAAUCCUCUUGCUUUAGUGUUUUAACUGCACAGAUUACUGUGCCCAGGGCCCUGAAGUCUUAAAGGUCAACCAUAAUCUUUUCAGUGAGAGAGGUGGACUGCAAAGGACUUCACAGAAUUAGCAUCCUCAUGUAUCCACAACAGGAAGCACAGCCACCAUUCUAGUUCAGAGUGGCCUUACAUGCUAAGGUGAAUCAGAUGAUGUCUAGUAGCAAGGCAAGAGCGCAUGGAUACAGAUGAUAGUGAUUUGGCUUCUCAUUCUCUUUUCUCUAUCAGAGGGAAGAAGAGGUGGGAACAGAAACAUAGAGCGCUCAACACAUGCAAGGUAUCUGUCAUCUUAUCCUACUAAUGGGACCCCACUUUACAGAUGAUUCUUCUGGGAGAGAGAGGGAGAGGAGAGAGAGAGAGAGAGAGAGAGAGAGAGAGAGAGAGAGAGAGGUAUGCCUUUAAAAAUAAAGUAGUUAUGUAAUGUGAAAAGAAGUGUAACACUGAAAUGGUGCCUAAGAAAAUAUUUUUAGAUGCUCUAUGAAAUGCCCUAUAUUCUCACUAUUCCUGACUCCCAUAUGAAAUGAUUGGUUAAUGAAUUAUUUCAGUAAUUCUUUGGCCUCAAGUGAUAGUCAGGGGAAGGUUAUCCAACAGAGUAUCAGUGCAUUUUUCUAUUGUUUUGGAAAACAGAAGUUAUCUCAAAAAUGCCGUCAGUCCCUUUAUAGGAACAAACCAGUGAAAUUAAUCUGUGACCUGACCAUCCGUCUCUGGCAUUAAGGUGAGCACUCACACGUUGGGCACAGUAAAACCCAUACUCUUGGGCUGAUUAACUUUUCCCCAGGGACUUCUGCUUCUGUUUGGGUUUUAUAUUUGACAACAAUACACAGCCAAGCUAGGUUGCAGACAUAUUUGCAAGCAAGAAAACAAACAAACAAAAACGCAUGUGGGAUCAUUACCGUGCACUGAAUGGUCUGUUAACAUUCCUCUGACAGUCACCCAGAGAGUGACUUGCGUGUGAAGGGAAAAUGUAUCUGGUUCUCUUUAUCAGCUAAGAGGGAUGGCAAGAGGAUUAUUGAAACAAUGACCAUAAAGCUGUUUGAGCUUCUUACCAAAAGGCACUGCUGGAAUACAAAUUGUCAUUAGAGUUAUCAUUGUUACAUGGUUUAGUACUACAAUAUUCAGGACGGGUUACAUAGAUGAGUGUGUCAGGAUCCUGAAUAGCUGAACCUCUACGUGAGUUGGUUGUCUUUGCAUGCUAGGUGCUGUAGCAAAGCGUUCUUUUGAUGAAAGCACAUUCUGGGGGCCAAGCGGAGUUACCCUGCAAGAAGAAUAAUGGGUGUUGCAAGAACAGACAUGUAUAAGUAACACCUGUGGAAAACGGAUUUCUGAGCUCUUGCUUCCACAAUACAUGUUUAUAUUAUACAAUCCUACUGCAGUGAGCUUGGGGCACUCUCACAAGCCUUUAUUAAUCUGCUGAAUGUGAAGAUUAUGUGACCUGAGACCAGCUGGAAAUAGAUACUGAAAUCUUGCUUUGAUAAGUGAGGCGUUUUGGUAGAAAAAGAACAUGGUGCCACUGGACAUGAUUUUCGGAGGAUGGGUGUGGCCUUUCUUGUUAAGAGCCUAACCAUGGGCUCCGUUCUUGGAAAGCACCCUGGUGAACAGGAGAGAGCAUGGGCUCUGGAAUCAGACAUACCUGGGUUUAUUUAUUAGCUGUGGGACCUCGGGCACCUUGGUUUCCACCUAUAAAAUGGGGACAAUAAAACCUACCUCAAAGGUUGUUGUGAAGAAUGGGUAAUGUAAUGUGUGUAAAGGACCCAGCACCAGAAUAGGUUCUCGUUAAACAUUAUUCCUGGUCCCUGCUGUUUGGCACGUUUCAGGCCUUACAGUGUUCUUCAAAUACAAUUGAUUCACUGCCCCCCCCCCCGCCUUUAAGCUUACUAAACACCCAACAAGCCAGAGGUAAUGAUCUUCAUCAGAGGCAUGUACUAAAAACAUUCUGUAAUAUUUUUAUUGUGAAAAUAUUACACAGGUCCACUCAUAACAGCCUGUUAAAACAGAUUCACAUGAAAUUAAUCAAGCUUUAUCACAAGGUCCAUGCCAACUCAUUAGUAAUUUGUGUCUAAAUUCCCAGCGACAUCAUUUUCAGGUCAUCAGAAGCUUAAUUUGUACAACAGUCACUUUUUAAAAGGACUUUUCCUGAGUCCUGAGAUGAAUCUGGCUCUCUCUUGCAGACAAGGUCCUGAACUAUUCCUUCCAUGGCAUUUGAUGCCCCUGAAGCUUUCAAAAGCUUUUUAAAGGACAAUCUAGAGAUGGAUGGGGAAUAUGCAUAAAGAUGGGGGUUGGGAAUGUUGACAGACUUUGGCACAUAGCCCUGCACCCCAGGUUCCAGCCUCCUUACAGGAAAUGUCCCAGGCAAUGCUGGGACCUUGGUAGAGGCCCACGGGCCUUCGCAGCAAUUAGAGCUGAUGGAAGGGAGGCCCCUCACCUCUUGGGCAAUUAUGAGCCUAUGGUAGUAAAAUAAACACACACACACAGCCACUGUCCUCCUUAAGAUUUUUUUCUUGAUUGAGGGUUACAGAAGCAACACCAAGUGCCUUGAAAAUGAAAGUCGCAGUGUUGGGGCAGAGCCCAGAACGGUGCUCUUUCGCAUUUAUUCAAGGCCCUGGAGGGGCUGUAUUCACACAUAAUUUGAGGUACCUGCUUUGGGGUACUUGACUAGUUGGCAGGAGCAGUAGUUAAGGAAGAGAAUGGGUGCUAUUAUAAUAGUCAGUGAAAUGGUCCUUGAGCUCCCCUCGGGAUACCCUGAAAGGCAGUGGAAACUACGGUGGGCAUUAGGAGCCAGAUUUAUCCACCUCCUGGCUGAAUUCAUUUAUUUUCUCACCUCGGGAUCUGUCACCAUUGCUUUCCCCUUUAAGCACAAUGAGAUUUUAAAAAGAGAGCCACAAAAACAGUAUGUGAAAAUACAGUUGGUUUAAUGAAAGUAAAGGUAAGGUCAGUUUUAUAGAGAAUUAAUACUAUUCCGAGCAAUUGUUAAAAAACAACAGAUGUCAACGUGGUGUACAAAAUAGUGCUAAGUAUAGCAUCGUUUUCUGAAACCUACUGGAUAGCAGUAAGAAGUCCUUAAAAUUAUUCUUUCCUCAGAAACAUAACCAGCACCAUAGGCGUAACUAAGACAGAGAAUCACUUAAGGGUAGUGCUAUUUUUAACAUUGCCCUAUCCUCUUCGAUUUCCAUACAUGUGAGUGCAAAGGGUUUCAGGGAACAGUGUGUUGCAAGCAGGCCUGUUUUAAUCAGAACGCUGUGCAGAGCUCAAACUGAGCUGUAUGAAACCCUGCUGAAACACGCUGUAGACACUCCAACGGUAAUUUGUUUGAUGUGGACUCUGGGCAAACACAAACACUAACGGAAAGCACAUUGCACUCUGUAUUUUGAAAUGAAAAGCCAAGCAUUUCAGGAAUACUUCGCGUUUACUUCUCAAGACACGGAAGAAGUAAAGCGGCUGCUCUUCUAAGCCUGGGCAUAUUUAUAGCAUUGCUCUAUUUUCUUAAGGCAUAACAGCGCCCAUUCAUCACUUGAGAGCAACAAAGCGGUAACCUGAUAAAUGACAAAUACUAGGAGCUUAAUGGCUGAUGUCCAUUACCGAUGGGUCCCUCUCACUUGCUGGAGGAGCCGGCACUGAAGGAUUAGUGAGCAGGCAGAGCACCUGAGAAAACUUGCUCUCCACAGUCUGUCAUCAAGGGUCUGAUGGAGGGCAUUACCUGAAGCUCUUAUCUAAAGCUGCAAACUGCUGCCACUGCCAAGAAUUUUCAGCAAAGAGUGGCCUACAGCCCAGCAGGGAGAGGGGAUGCUGACUCUCACAGCUCAUCCCUCUUUGGCUCUCUGGAACCCAAGGACCAGGCUGCCUUGAAUCACGGAUAAGCACAACAGCCUCGCGCCUCCAAUCUGCGCUGAAGACUUUAGUAAGACUGUAAAGUAUUUAGCCUUUACCUUCUUCUUUUCACAGCUAACUGGGGAAUACCCGUCUGUUUGAUGUCCUGGUAGGGAUGGGUUCUGUUGAUACUGAAGAAAAGCUUUGGGGCUGCUCACCCCCUUCCUCUUCUGAGAGGACCUCAUAGCCCAGGGAACUAAACUUGUCUUACUGGUUUGGUCCUUCAAGAAAUGUAAGUCAUGUUUUUUUCUCUAGUUAUUCUGCUGACCUAGAGAAUAUCGCCUUUCCAACAGUUGGAGGGUGGGUGGUUAAGGCUUAGGGGACUUGUCAAAUUAAUAAAUUCUAGGUGAAACUAAAAACUUUGGAGAUAUGUUUUUGCUCAUUUUUAUUGUCUUGACUAAAUAUCUACAGAUUUCCCAGAAAAAUAAUUACUUAUUUUUCUUGUUCACGGGUCUUAUUUCAAUGAUAUAUUAAUAUUUACUGAAUGUUAACAUUGUCUACUUAAUUUCAUUUAUGAGCUGAUAAGUACAAUACAUAUAAAUAUUAAAUUUAUAAGAGAAAUAAAAACACUAUUUAUGGCAGAAAUAAAAAAGCUUUAAAGGUAGCUGAAUUACUUGGAGCUAAUGUUAAUAACCGACAUUAUUGUGACAAUUUCUUAUAAAUGAAAGCAAUUCAACGAGUAAUCACUGAAGUUUCAAGUCGGCCACAGAAAAUCUGGUUUUUCUUCAAAUGUUUCAUAGUUGUGAUUUUUUUCUUUUUCUUUUCUUUCUUUCUUUCUUUUUUCUUUCUUUUUUUUUUCUGAGAGAACAAAAGCAUAUAUCUUCAGGGGAAAACAGACAUGGAUCAAAGCAAGAAGGAGUCUGACACUUCUUUUCCAGAAAAUCAAUGGCAGUUAGACAUAUUUAAAGUAGCGAUUAUGGUUUCAUUUUCAUAGUCCUUUUUUGAAAUUUCAGUCCUUUCAGCCUCCUGGGUGGACACCAGCAGCAUCCACCAUGUCCAUUAACAUUAACAUCCACCACAAACACAUCUGUACACAGGAGAGGAGGGGAAGAAAAAUGCUUUAAAAAAAAAACAUAAAACGCGGAGAGAGGCAGGGGAAAAGGCUUUGCCUAUGUAGAGUUUGUCCGCUCCUGCUUAGAGCACAUUGAAAAGCACUUAAAUGGUUGUAACUCAAACUAAAUGGACAGCUGAAAGAAUGGGGGAUGCUCUGGGUAAAGUCUCUUUGUCGAAGUGUGAGGACACCUCUGUGUACAAGUUCAUUUUGGGUGACAGACAGAAUAGAAGGUAUAACUUGCUCAAAGGAAACACUCAAACCGAAUAGGUUAUCAGCAUCAAGGCUCAAACUUGUGCAAAAACCUCAGUGACUUUAGUCCAAGCUUUGAGGGUGGGUGCCUUAUGUUCCGUUUAAAUCUGUAAGUUUCCCACAUUACCCCCACCAUGGCCUUCCAAGUGGCCAUACAUUUACUCCUGCCAUGUCACACGUGGAAUGGUGAGUUCAUUCCAUUUUAGCAUGUAAGAAGGAUCAUGGAUUUAGCAUCACAUGCACAGGGUCCUUUUGAACCAAAACUCAUUUUGGACAGAUAGGAUGCGGUCUGCUCCGGUUGUAGUUAGAUCAUUUUUACAGUUUACUCGGUUAUGGAUCAUGGAGAGAUUUUGGUCUCCAAAUAGCUUGUGACACGUUUGAGCCUAAAUUAAUCCUCUGUUAAAAAAAAUCCACAGCUUCAAAAUCUGGUUUAAGAUGUCCAUAGGCAUGUGCUGAUGACUACUCCGUGCUUCAAAAAUUAAAACUGCAAAACAGGCAGAGCUGAUCUAGUAUAAAAUCGCACACCUUUGUGCACAGAGAGAUGUGAGCUCAGUCUCCUUGACAUCCUCCAGUGCCAAUGAAAAUGCCAACUGUCAUUUACUAGUAAAGUUUAAACCCAAAUGCAGCAAGAAAUAGCAUCCAAGGAUCUCUUCUUACAUUUUCUAUCUUAUCAUUCGAGGUAAAUCUCAUGUAAUUAGUGGGCCUAACAGAGAGCUAACCAGAAUGGCUAAAAUACAAGAACUGUAGUAAAAUACAAGAACUAUAGUGUAUUUACAGCUGGGUUAUUUUUUUCAGAAUUAAAUAAAAAACUUUUCAGAGUAAAAUUAUGCACUACUAGUUAAUUAGGAACAAAAUACACAACCCUUUCAAAGUAAAUUACUCAGUUUAGGCAACACUUUAUAUAAACAGACACUGCUUUACCUUGGACUUCAUAUGGUUACAUCACCCUUCUCAGGGAAGCAAGGAGCUCUUUAUGGGAAUAAGCUCACCUAUCAGCUACUUACUUCCUCCAUGUAAACGAAAACCCAUCUUAUCUGCUUUUAAAAGGAAUGCAUUCUUUGGAAAGCCUCAGUGAAAGCUUGUUUUAGCUAUUAGUAUUUACUCACAAAAAUCUCAUAAUAGUUCUGAGCUCAACUGGCAGCCAUUUUAAACAUAAAACUGUGUGUGUGUGUGUGUGUGUGUGUGUGUUGUGUGUGUGUGAGUGUGUGUGUUGACAAUCACAUUUUAAACUGAUUCUUUCCAGAUGAAAAGAUACUUUUUCAAACAAUGUAAUAAAAAUGUAAACUCAGCUGUUUCACAGACAUAAAAGUGAUUUAUAUCACAUGCACUGCGCUCACAGAGCUUUUCUCCACACACAAUGCAAGUUUUAUUUUAGGGAAAAGUUAAUAAUUAACAGCUAGGGAAAUCCCACAAUGCAAAGAAGCCAGCUAUAGGGGAUUAGCCACCCCCUUUGCUUUCCCACAAAACAUUGGCCAAUAAACCUGGCAAGAAAACUAUGGCAUAUUUGAAAACUAAAAAGAGUCACCAUGGGAUGGCCCUUACCUUUUGUGGGGGUGGGGCAGAGAAGGGAUUGGAAGGAGACAUCGGAGGCCUGAGGGAGCUGCAGUCUGUCAGUCUGUCUUGGUGUGAGAGCUCAUUCACAGUCUUCAACUUGUGAAAACUCAUUGAACUGCACACCCCUGUUUUAUGCUAUGCUUUAAUCAAAAGUCCUAAAAGGCAAUUACAUUUUGUCUAUUUUUUUGCAACAGAAUAAAAGUCUUUUAAUGUAACUAGAUAAGUGUUCUCUCUCUCUCUCUCUCUCUCUCUCUCUCUCUCUCUCUCUCUCUCUCUCUCUCCUCUGUUAUAUUUUGGCCAUCAACAGACCUCUCAAAAGCAUAUGGCUGAAGAACUUACAAUUUUGUCAGUAGCAUUCUAGUCCUGAGAAGGACAGAGUAGGGUAAUAGUCUACACUCUAGAAGACAGACCUGGAAGGAAGGGAAGUCACAUGUAAUGAAAUCUCUACCCAAACAUGAUCCCAUCGAGGGAGACUCUAAGAGGCCAGGAAAGCCAUGCUUCUAGCAGCAUUUUUCUGAUGGCCGAGAACCUGAAUUCUGCACACCCAGUGCCUACUGUUUCCUGUUAAGGGGAGGCAGACCACAUCGAAACCCACUAUCACGAGCCACAGCACACCUCUCCCCUGUCAAACUGCUGGACAAGUAUUAAAUAAAUAGAAAAAUCAGUUUGUAGUCAGUCAAUGUGCUAAUAAACCGUGAAAUGUCCAAUCUGUCAAAAAUGAUGGUGGCACGGAACGCCAUUCAACGAGCAGCUCCCUGGAAGUCCCUGGCAUGAAGUGGCAACGUACACACACUUAAAACUUCACUUCCACAUUUCUUCCAUGGAUUUUUGGUCUUUAAAACUCUAGCGUUUAACUCAUCAGUUCAAAGUGCCCACUGCUGCUUUUCUGCGUCCUUUCUUCCUCACUAAAAUGCGUCUUCCCGCUCCGCACACCACCACAAGGCUUGCCUUCCUCUAGGCCCCUCACGUUCUAAAAUGAUGACAUAAUUGCCCAUUACUUCUGUCCUUCUGAUCUAAGGAAAUCAAAAAUAUCAACUUCGGUGCAGUGAGAUGACUCAGCAUGGAAAGGUGCUUGCAACAGAUUCCUGUACAACAAGAAAUCUCUAAGUCAGCUAUUGGUUGAAAGAAAAGAAAGGACCAAAUCUAGAGUUAAACAGCAUCACCACUGUAAUACAGUUUAAUCUACCAAAUAAUCUGCAGGAUUCCAUGUACAAUCCAGACCUUCUGUCAGGCUCCAAGGACAGCAGCAUUGGAGCGAUGAAGUCCUGACCUGUGGAUAGAUCGCUAUUCCCUUGCCAUGAAGAGACACUCUGCUUUAGGGACUCACCUAGUACAAAAGGCCUCGGAAAGACACAAUGCGGCUGUUGCAAGAUCCUAACAUAUUUAGAUUCUCCUCACUGGUUUGCAUGUAGACACACAGCAACCUACCCACAGCCAUGGGGACAUUUAAUUCCUGAGAUGCAACUGAAGUACCUGAACCCUGAAUGCUCACGUGGCUGAAAGAAAGUGGAUUUCCCCAAGGAAUGUCCCAUCCCUGGAGAUGGCUGCCAUCAAAAGCAUCAUGUUCUGAGAAGGUAUAGGAAAGAGAUUAAGCUCCUAAGACAGGUGACGGUGUAGAGGAAGGAGUGGGGACAGGGGUGGAGGAAAGGUAAAAUGUCAGCCUUCUGAGAUUGAGACCCACAAACAUGAGAGGAGGAAAUGAGAGUCUCAAGUUUAAGCCCAUGGCUUGUAUCUAGUGGCCCUGAGCAAUGGAGGCUUUAAGGAGAAAGACAGGACACUCUGUUCAGCAUGGUGGUGUUUUUCACGUGUCAGACAUGCAUAACCAAGCCCAUGCCAAAAUAUAUUCAGUAGUGUCCUUAUCAUGCUGAAGGGAGCAGUUAAAAAAAUAAAGAAAGAAGGGAAGAAAGAAAAGAAAAGAAGAGAAGAGAAAAGAAAGGGAAAUGGUCACAUUGUAAGGUGUGGUAAAUACUUUGGAAGAUGUCACAGAGAAAUUUGAUUUCCCCAAUUUCCACUUAUUUUCUAAGCAUGACAACCAACUAUUUAGCUAAAAAAUUAUAGUUUACUUGCUUUUAAAAGCGUGUCUUUAAAAAUAAUACCACUAAAUAUCUGGACCCGAAUCACCUGAGUUUAAAUGCUGCAAACUAAGAGUAAUUGCAAAAGUUACAUAAUGUUUUGACUUUGAUUGACUCGAAAAUCGAAUGGAAAGAAUUACAGUUCCUCACCAAGAAGGAUGUCGCUAUGACAACAUGAAUUGGUGUAUACAAAGCACCUAGCAAGGUGCCUGGUACCUGGCAAGCUAGUAAUACUGUUUUAGUAUCUUGAAAUUAGUAUUUAUAAAACAUUAUGAUUUAUCAUAAAAGCAUAUGAAUUAUUAUAACUCUUGUAACUGUAUAAUCAACUAAGUGAAGUGCUGCUUAGCUGCUACCAUAUACUAUAUGUUGUCUGAUAUUCCUAUAUACAGUGUCUUGUCUGAUAUUCAAGAUCCUAAUGAUUAGCAAACCGAAUGUUAAUAUACCAUGCUACAUGAACAUUUGCUGAUUGAAUUUCUAUGGGAAACUUCUUUGUUUUGAUCUAUUUAUUUACAGUUUUUGAAUCUCUGUUGAAAAUUCAUAACUCCCCAUGUUCUUGAAAAUAUGUAUUAUAAUUUAAAAAAAAAGUAUUAGUUACACAUAGGAUUAUGUGAUCUGGUCAUUCCACUCACAGUUACAGUCCCCAAAGAACUGAAAGAGGUCUUGGCAGAUUUCUAUACCAAUGAUGUAACAUUUAUAAUAGCUCAGAGGUGGAAACACACAAAUGUACAUUGUAUAUACAUUGACACUGGGUAUGAACGGGUAGAAAAAAGUGCAGCAUCAACUUAUGACAAGACUUAAAAAGGAGUGAAAUUCUGACCCAUGCUACAAGAUAGACAAACACUGAAGCGCUUAUGCUAAGAGACCAUGAAAGGACAAACACUUUA
rnacentral:sRNA from 1 species